UCAAGUUGUGGGCCAGCCGCCUGGGCGUAUGAGGAUUUAGAUGGGCUUUUGACCUUGGACCGUAUAGGCCUCGUUCGUUUUCACCGGAUCGGGCCGUUCCGAGCCUUGUUCCAGGCGGAUUCUUUCAGCCCGUUUCAAAACCAGGUCCAACAAAAAAUUGUUGUUCGUUUUGGGCCAGCUCGGAAUGAAAAAUGGGCCUGAACGGCCUUUCCAGCCCCAAAUCGGCCCGGAUUACAUCCCCACCUCCGUACCUCCGGAACGAUUCCGCGGCCGCAUGCGAGGUGAGGCUCGGCGGCGGGCGAGAGGCGGAGCUGGUGGCGCGUGAGGCGGCGGUGCGAGGCGGCGACUUAGCGGUGCGAGGCGGCGGCUUGGCACAUCUUCCCCGACGGCUACCACCGUCGGCAGCGGCGACGACGACCAUCUCCCUCCGACGUCGACGCUCCUUUGCCCCCUUCUCGCUGUGCCACUGUGUCCAUCUGGAGUGUCCUAUCUGAGGAAAUCUUUCUCUUUGCUUGAGCUGGUGCGUUCACACCUUAAGCAUUUUUAAUUUUUUGCACACACAAAACCUGAUUAUGCUUUUCUCCUUCCGAGUUUUUAACUCUGCUGCCGUCAGUCAUAACAUGGAAGCAUAUACUAUAUUUGCUGCUUUGCAAUUAUCAUGAGUAAUGUCCCGACUAACAAAUACCUUUUCUUGUUACUUGUAGAUCCCACCGGCACCAUUUAGAGUUCAAUCAGUAGCAUGACCAUGUUAUCUUUGACUGCUCGUUCUGGAGGGUUUAGAGUCUUGCUCGGCAAACUAUUGUAAUGUUUGGGCAGGGUCGUUUAUCUUUGACUGUCAUUGUAGCUCAAUCAGUAGCAUUUAUCAGAUUCUAACAACAUCAGGUCUCAGGAUAUCAGGUCUUAGUGACUAAUACUGAACGAGCAGUGGUAAUGCAAAGGCAUUUAUCAGAUUUUGUUUUAGUAUACCUACUGCAGUAAUUUGGUUACUUGUAGAUCAUUUUUGCUUAACAAAUAUUUUUUCUUGUUACUUGUAGAUCUCUCGAGCAUCAAUGGUGAUUAGAAUGCAUGUCUCUGUUUUCAGUUUACCACCAUUGGCGGACUGUAGUCAGCAGAUGGUUCCAAUGUCCAUGUUUUCUCUAGCAAAUUAUUUUAUUUGACGCUUCUGUUGUCCAAUGUGAAGCACUGAUGUCCAUUAACUUUCUUUGUAUCAUGUGGUGUUUGUCACCAUUCUGAGUAGUGCGAACUUGAUCCUUGUAUCUAGACAUGCAUAGUAACUGUUUGUCCCUUUAUCUAGCAUUGCGAUAGCAAUUUGGUGGUUCGGAUGGUAUUGGGAAUUUAUGUAACUGUUUGUCCCUUUAUCUAGCAUUGUGAUAGCAAUUUUGGUGGUUCGGAUGGUAUUGGGAAUUUAUGAUACAUCAGUCUCUUAUGUCAGCUAUUGAGCACAGUUUAAAAUCUGUUAUUUCUAAACUCAUGACAUAAUUUGUAUUUUUCUGAUAUCAGGUUUCCAAGUUUUCCAUUCCCUUGGAGGAGGCAAUGGAUCUGGAAUGGGCGCCCUUCUUAUCUCAGAUCCGAUAGGAGUACCAUGAUCGGAUGAUGCUCGCUUUUUCUAUUUUUCCUUAAGCUACAUGCUCUGCAUGUUGUGGAUGUGAUCUAGAAUGGGCACCCAUUCUUAUCUCAAAGAUCAGAGAGGAGUACCCCCAUGAGAUGAUGCUCAUUUUUUUUUCUGUUUUUCCUUCAACUACCUGUACCGUGGUGUCUCCAUUUCGUCAUGCAAUCAGCCUUGAAUUUCUACGUGUUUGUGAGA